rnacentral:rRNA from 2 species
CUCGGAUCAGGUAGGGAUACCCGCUGAACUUAAGCAUAUCAAUAAC